GGCUGGGGCGGACGGGCGGGGCCCUGGGCGCCCGGGCCGCCUCCCUGCUCUCUCCCGGCGUCUGGCCGCAGCGCCGGCUCCAGGUUUCCCCUCCCAGCGUGGGGUGGCAGCCUGGAGAGGCAUCUGCAGAAACCACGCGAGCCCCGGGGAGGAGAGCCCAUGGUGCACACAUAGGCGCGUGUCGGGGACCCCAAGCCCCUGGGCCCCGGGCACACUCGCAGAACCGCUGCAGGGACGUGGCCCAAGCUGGAAUUGCCCUGCGCACAGGCCAGGACCUUUGGGAGCAGCGACUGUCGAGAUAAGGUCAACGGCGGGCCCGCGGUGACUCAGCUCCCCUUGGCCCCGAGGAAGCUCGGCUGGCCCGGGGGGGCGGGGCCUGCGACGCUCCGCCCCCUGCUCCGGCUCCCGGAAGGCGCCCCACACCACCCCCAGCUUCCCAGAGGCGCCCAGAUUUCCCACGGGUUUUCCUGGUGGUGUCGUAACGAGCCCGGCCCUUUCGGAGCGUCCCAGGGCCCCGAGUCAGCUCCCUGUGACGGGACACAUGAGGAUCUGAGCGCCGCACGCUCCCUGACUGUGUGUGUGCGUGUGGUAAGGAAAAGCAAGCUUACCUACUCCAAGAAGAGACUGGAAUCUGCCAGCAUGAGCUGGAUCUCAUGUUUUCAUAUUGUAGGACAGGCUACAAGAGGCAUGUGAUUGUUUAGAUCUAAAAUAUCCCCCCAAAGUCUCCCUUUGAAGGUGGGUCAUGGUUGGAAGGGAUGGGAGUGUGACUUGGAAGGGUGUAUUCUCAUCCCCAGCUCCUCCAUUUCUGCUUCCUGGCCACCUUGUGGCGAACAGUUUUCCUCUGACAUUCAGUUCUCUGAUGUAUUUUCUGCCUUGGGGCUGGCUGACCAUAGACUGAACCCACUGAAACCAUGAGCCAAGCCUCUCCUUUAAGUUUUGGGUAUUGGAAAGUGCCUCAGACAAGAUGGGUGUUUGGGGGGGGUCCCACUGAUUCUGAAGAGGCCCAAGGGCUCAGGGGACUGGGUCUGACAGCAGAGUGGAAAGCCAGAGUGCCCCAUUGCAUUCCCAGCCCUGCCUCCCGCCCACCAGAGGGCAGGGGCUGGGGACAGUUAGGUCUGAGCGUCAACCUGGAGUCACUUGGGGACCCAUAUGGAGAAGGAAUGGAGCUCGUGUAGCUUCUCCAAGGCCGAAAAACUCUCACCCCUUCCCUAACAUACACUGCCUCUCCCAUCAUGGUUAAGUACCAAAGACCUGAAGAGGAGAAGAAGCCCUUGAAUGCUGCCCGUGGGGUGCAUCUUCUCCCCUCUUCUUACUCUGCCCAGUUGCCCCGUGUAAGGGGAUCAGGGGUACAGUGUACCCCGAGGGAGCCCAGGGAUUUCAGAGCACAGUAACACACCAGGCACGGAAGUCCUCUUACCCGGGAAGCUGCCAGCUCGGUCCUGGGGGCUCUGCCUUUCCUGCAGCCUGGAAGGCCCUGCCUCCUGGCCCCGCUGGUGGCAGAGGACUCUGGCUCCUUCUGCCCAGUGUCACCUGCUCUAUGCGCCUCGCCACAUCACUGUUCCAGCAUGUACGCCUCCCAUCGUUUCUGGACCUUGGAUUUCACCCGUCACUGCACGUUGCACUCUGCGGCAUCACUCUGUUUAUGCAUCCGAAGUGAUGUCCUAGAGCCUUCCUCUGCCCUGUGUCCCCAGGGUGUAGUUAGUGCCUUCGCCGCUGAGUAGGCGGUCACAACACUGGUGCAACAGAGAUACAGAGGUGGUGCCUGCCUGUAUCCCCAGCAGUCUAGGAGGCUGAGGCAGGAGGAUCACACGUUAGAGCCCAGCCUGGGCAAAUUAGUGACUUAGUGAGGCUCUGUCUCAAGAAAUAUAAAAAAGGGGGAGCUGGGGAUGUAGCUCAGUGAGAAAGCCGUGGGCUCAAUCCCCAGUACCAAAAUAAAACAAAACAAGCAAGCACAGUCCCAGGUGGCCUGAGCCCAUUCUGGGCCUUUUCCCCCUCCUCACUACCCCUCCCUGUGUGCCCUCGGCCCCCACAGAUGUCCCCAUCUGCCCGAGGUGGGAGCCCGGCCUCAGCCACAGCUGCAGGUGUCUCUUUUGAGAGGCCCCUCAAACCAGAAGCCUGCAGAGCCCCUCAAGGCCUUGUGUACGAACUUGGGACUCCACCCCAGCAGAGCGGAAGGCUGGGAGGGGAGGAGAGGCCCAUGGGGUCCUAGAAACUACCCGUGUGCAGUGGCGGUGUGGCGAGGAUCGGCAGUUCUCUGGCAGGGAGGAGCGAGGGCUGUGGCCCGUGCCUGCCUGCCCAAGGUGUCCCGCCAACCCUGCUCUCAGAUCGAAGGAGGGUUCCCUGCCAGGGCGGCAGCGGUCAGAGGUGGAAGUGGGCUGCUGCCCCGAGGGCCUGGGCGGGACCUGCUGUCCUCGUGGGUGCCCCAGCCCCAGGUGUCUGGCUGGAGACCGUGCUUCUCUGGGGUCUCUGCCCUGCCUGUCCCCGGCCACUUGGCCGAGCCACAGCCUGGUCUUCCUUCCCCCAGGCAGCUUCUCUUCUGGUGGGCUCCUCGCGCCUUAGCGUUCUCUGGCCAGGCAUGGCUCCUCUUCUGCCCAGCCAGGCCUCGGCAGCCGAUGCCACCCUCCCCUCACCACCGUAGCUUGAGUCAGGGCCCGCCUGGCUGCUCCAGCCCUGGCUCUGGUCCCUGAGGUCCCCAGGCAGGUCUGCUCCUCAGGCCUGAAGACGUCUGCGUUUGGUCUCUUCGGUUCAUUGAUCAGGAAUCUUAUGAGCUUUUAAAAACAC
ensembl:lncRNA